rnacentral:rRNA from 1 species
UACGAAGGGGGCUAGCGUUGUUCGGAAUUACUGGGCGUAAAGGGCUCGUAGGCGGCCAACUAAGUCAGACGUGAAAUCCCUCGGCUUAACCGGGGAACUGCGUCUGAUACUGGAUGGCUUGAGGUUGGGAGAGGGAUGCGGAAUUCCAGGUGUAGCGGUGAAAUGCGCAGAUAUCAGGAGGAACACCGGUGGCGAAGGCGGAUCUCUGGGCCAUUACUGACGUUGAGGAGCGAAAGCGUGGGGAGCGAACAGG